rnacentral:rRNA from 1 species
CGGACGGGUGAGUAACGCGUGAGCAACCUGCCCUUCGGAGGGGGAUAGUGUCUGGAAACGGACAGUAAUACCGCAUAACGUAUUGAUACCGCAUGAUAUUGAUACCAAAACUGAGGUGCCGAAGGAUGGGCUCGCGUUGGAUUAGAUAGUUGGUGGGGUAACGGCCUACCAAGUCGACGAUCCAUAGCCGGACUGAGAGGUUGAACGGCCACAUUGGGACUGAGACACGGCCCAGACUCCUACGGAAGGCAGCAG